CUGAGCGGCGGACGGGUGAGUAACGCGUGGGUAACCGUGCCUCAUACAGGGGGAUAACAGUUGGAAACGGCUGCUAAUACCGCAUAAGCGCACAGUACCGCAUGGUACGGUGUGAAAAACUCCGGUGGUAUGAGAUGGACCCGCGUCUGAUUAGGUAGUUGGUGGGGUAACGGCCUACCAAGCCGACGAUCAGUAGCCGACCUGAGAGGGUGACCGGCCACAUUGGGACUGAGACACGGCCCAA
rnacentral:rRNA from 1 species